CUCAGUCCCAGCCCUGGCUCCGCGCA
rnacentral:misc_RNA from 1 species